rnacentral:rRNA from 1 species
AGGGAUACCCGCUGAA